rnacentral:lncRNA from 1 species
GAGAGUAAAGACAGUAAAAGCUUAAGAGAGCAAAGAGGGGCCAAGCAGGCCCUCUUAUAGUGGGCUGUGUUAUCUUGCUGUUGCUAGGUAACUGGGAGGAGUCUAGCCUGAAGGUCAGAAGCUUGGGACAUUGUCUACUAGCAACAGCUUCUCCUGUGGAGGCUGUGGGGUCUGAGGGGACUGUGAGGUCAGUAACUUCGAAAGGAGCCAGGGGUCCAGGAGACAUGAGGGAAUGCCUUUCAUCCCAUGUAGGUGGAAAUGAACACUACUGGGUUUCACUGGGGUUCACAAACUCAGCUCAACUGGAGACUAGGCUGUCUGUACAUUGCCACCCCAUAUCUACAUGGUUACCCACAUCCCCUAUCCCACCUGACCCAGUCUCUUGAGGGUUAGGUGCAUCAUUUCUGAAUGAACACAGACCUGGAAGUCCUCUACUAUAUGUGUGUCAGGGAGCCUCAUAUCAGCUUGUGUAUGCUGUCCUUUUGUUGGUCCAGUGUUUGAGAGAUCUCAGGGGGACAGAUUAACUGAGACUGAUGGUCCUCUAACAGGAUCACCCUUCUCCACAGCUUCUUUCAGCCUUCCAUAAUUCAACAACAGGGGUCAGCUGCUUCAGUCCAUUGGUUGGGUGCAAAUAACUGCAUCUGACUCUUUCAGCUGCUUGUUGGGUCUUUCAGAGGGCAGUCAUGAUAGAUCCCUUUUGGUGAGUGCUCCGUAGCACUUAGAGCAAAUUUAAUUGGUUGUUAAUAAAAACAGUCUGUUCCAGAAUGCAAAAUUUAAUAAUUCAAAAAUGACACUGAUUGCACAUUUCAGACUUUGC